AGUGUGUUUCGACACACUAUCAUUAACUGAAUCCAUAGGUUAAUGAGGCGAACCGGGGGAACUGAAACAUCUAAGUACCCCGAGGAAAAGAAAUCAACCGAGAUUCCCCCAGUAGCGGCGAGCGAACGGGGAGCAGCCCAGAGCCUGAAUCAGUAUGUGUGUUAGUGGAAGCGUCUGGAAAGGCGCGCGAUACAGGGUGACAGCCCCGUACACAAAAAUGCACAUGCUGUGAGCUCGAUGAGUAGGGCGGGACACGUGGUAUCCUGUCUGAAUAUGGGGGGACCAUCCUCCAAGGCUAAAUACUCCUGACUGACCGAUAGUGAACCAGUACCGUGAGGGAAAGGCGAAAAGAACCCCGGCGAGGGGAGUGAAAAAGAACCUGAAACCGUGUACGUACAAGCAGUGGGAGCACGCUUAGGCGUGUGACUGCGUACCUUUUGUAUAAUGGGUCAGCGACUUAUAUUCUGUAGCAAGGUUAACCGAAUAGGGGAGCCGAAGGGAAACCGAGUCUUAACUGGGCGUUAAGUUGCAGGGUAUAGACCCGAAACCCGGUGAUCUAGCCAUGGGCAGGUUGAAGGUUGGGUAACACUAACUGGAGGACCGAACCGACUAAUGUUGAAAAAUUAGCGGAUGACUUGUGGCUGGGGGUGAAAGGCCAAUCAAACCGGGAGAUAGCUGGUUCUCCCCGAAAGCUAUUUAGGUAGCGCCUCGUGAAUUCAUCUCCGGGGGUAGAGCACUGUUUCGGCAAGGGGGUCAUCCCGACUUACCAACCCGAUGCAAACUGCGAAUACCGGAGAAUGUUAUCACGGGAGACACACGGCGGGUGCUAACGUCCGUCGUGAAGAGGGAAACAACCCAGACCGCCAGCUAAGGUCCCAAAGUCAUGGUUAAGUGGGAAACGAUGUGGGAAGGCCCAGACAGCCAGGAUGUUGGCUUAGAAGCAGCCAUCAUUUAAAGAAAGCGUAAUAGCUCACUGGUCGAGUCGGCCUGCGCGGAAGAUGUAACGGGGCUAAACCAUGCACCGAAGCUGCGGCAGCGACGCUGAUGCGUUGUUGGGUAGGGGAGCGUUCUGUAAGCCUGCGAAGGUGUGCUGUGAGGCAUGCUGGAGGUAUCAGAAGUGCGAAUGCUGACAUAAGUAACGAUAAAGCGGGUGAAAAGCCCGCUCGCCGGAAGACCAAGGGUUCCUGUCCAACGUUAAUCGGGGCAGGGUGAGUCGACCCCUAAGGCGAGGCCGAAAGGCGUAGUCGAUGGGAAACAGGUUAAUAUUCCUGUACUUGGUGUUACUGCGAAGGGGGGACGGAGAAGGCUAUGUUGGCCGGGCGACGGUUGUCCCGGUUUAAGCGUGUAGGCUGGUUUUCCAGGCAAAUCCGGAAAAUCAAGGCUGAGGCGUGAUGACGAGGCACU
rnacentral:rRNA from 1 species